UACGUAGGGCGCGAGCGUUAUCCGGAAUUAUUGGGCGUAAAGAGCUCGUAGGCGGUUUGUCACGUCUGCUGUGAAAAACUGGAGGCUCAACCUCCAGCCUGCAGUGGGUACGGGCAGACUAGAGUGCGGUAGGGGAGAUUGGAAUUCCUGGUGUAGCGGUGGAAUGCGCAGAUAUCAGGAGGAACACCAGUGGCGAAGGCGGCGACCUGGGCCAAUACUGACGCUGAGGUGCGAAAGCGUGGGGAGCAAACAGG
rnacentral:rRNA from 1 species